UCAAGAGUACGUGAAACCGUUCAGGGGUAAACCUGAGAAACCCGAAAGGUCGAAUGGGGAAAUUCAUUCGCGUUUCGAUUGUCGGCGUUAAGCUGUUGCGUGACUGAUGGGGUACGCUUCGUGAGCACCUUCAGUUUUUCGAACCGACUUCGAACGCGUGCACUUUUCCCCUAGUAGGACGUCGCGAUCCGUUGGGUGUCGAUCUAAGGCCUGUGGUGGAGCUCGCGUGGACGUUUCGGCGUUCCAUACGAACCCGCAGUGACCCGAUCGACUCGCUCGACGGUAUAAAGAUGGCGCGAGGCCGCUACACACAGUUAGCGUUCGGCCUACGGCAAGCACGUACGGUGUUUGAUGGCGAUCAGACCUAGUCGGAUCCCGUCCCCGGACGACUGUUGGCACGUAGUGUUCUCGAACAGACCUCGUUGAAACGCCGAUCUGCGACGCUAUAGCUUUGGGUACUUUCAGGACCCGUCUUGAAACACGGA
rnacentral:rRNA from 1 species